UUAUUUUGUUUAUAUAAAACGGUUACAUUCAUUAAACUAAGAGUUUGUAUAAAAUGAUUGGCUUUCGAUUGCUCAAAAGCCAAAACAGUGCACAGGUGUAUGUGGAUUGUGAAGGGAUGGGGAGGUCAGUUAAGACGCUCCCCGGUUUAUUCACUAGUGAUCCUUCCGCAGGUUCACCUACGGAAA
rnacentral:misc_RNA from 1 species